GCUGGAGGUAAUCUUCUAGCGGACUGACUAGCCCUCCGCCCCAGGAGGGCGUCGGUUCCCCCCGAGGGCGAGUCGUUUGGCGGGGGAGAGAUUUGCAUUAAAAGCUCUUGAUUCCUUGGGGGGCCGCAUCUGUUGGCCUCUGCCCCGUCCCGUCUACCCCCAGUCGCACCCCUUAAACUCCCUUGUUUUCUGUUGCCACGGCCCUCUUCAGGGGCAGGAGCCCCGCCUGAUGUACCCCGGGUCCUCGGCCUCAACAGCACGGGGCUUGGCGCUCGGGGGGAUCCGGAGACCUCGGCUCACCAAAGGGAACGGCCACGGCCUGUGUCGCCCCCGCGAGUGCAGCUGGACCUGGGACUGUGUCCGGGAACUCCAUGAGGUCACCCUCCGUGCUCAGGGGCUUCGCCCCUAGGGAAUCCCGGCCGUCCAGAGUCAUUGGGAGAAGCCUGGGGGCCCGCCCCGCUGCCCGCACCACCGCCCCCAGGCCCGACGGGGGUGCGCUCAGGGCCGGGAGCUCCAUCAUCUCCCAGGGGCGCACGGGCCGCCCCAGGGGACCGGCAAUGAGGGAGAGAAAUCUCAGCUCCCGAGAGCCCCGUGUUUCCUCCAUUAGGGCGCCCUGCCCGCUAACUCCGGCGUCCCGGGGCUCCGAGCCCAGGCGUCUUGUCUGGUCCUUGUUUUUUGACCCCACCUGUCCCCACCGCGGGGCCUGGGGCGCAGAGGGCCCCGCAGGCAGGCGCUGAAGAGAAGCAACGUCCGGGCUCCCGCAGCACCCCACGCUGCCUCCAUUAGGGCACCCUGAAUUUUGAAUGUGUUCCUUCGCGCUCCUUGGGGUGCGUAAGGCCCCUCCCACCCUUAUCCGGGAGCCCAGCUGCCCCCAUCAAGGCCUCUGAGGGCCAGGACGGGCCCAGAAACCAGGGCCGGGGCACUCCCCGAGUCGGGCCUGUGUGCACCCCAGCCAGCUCAGGUGACUAGGAGGGCGCCGGGCACACCUGGCGCCGUCCCCUGACCCCGCCCCGGGCCGGGCCGCACCCCGGAAAGCUCUUUGGGGGAGCCAGCGCGGCGCAGCAGGGCCAUGGCAGCAGCGCCAGCGGUGGGCGUCCCGCAGGGGCCCCCGCUGGGGGCACCGUCCCCGCCGGCCGGCGCGCAGGGGCCUGCGUCCGGCCUGGGCCGCUGCCGGAUGGCGCUGCUACUGGCGGUGGCGCUGGACGUGGCGGGCAUGGCGGCGCUGCUGACCGGCGUGUUCGCGCAGCUGCAGGUGCGCGGCCGCGACUUCGGCGACCUGCUCAUCUACUCGGGCGCGCUGCUCGUCUUCCUGAGCCUGCUCGGCUGGAUCCUCUGGUACACCGGCAACAUCGAGAUCUCGCGCCAGGAACUCGAGCGCGACUACGGCCUGCGCCCCUCGGCGCUUGCCCGCCUGGCGCGCAAGCUCUCCCGCCGCUGGUCUGCGCCGGCCUCCUCCUCCGGCCCGCGCGCCGCGCCCGGCUCUCUGGGAACGCGCCGUGCCGCCCGCGCGCCCCCGCCGCCCGCCGCCGGCUCCCGCCGCGUGCGCCUGCAGCUCGCUACGCUCGAGGCCGGGCCGGGGGCGGCGGGCGCGGGCACCGAGUGAGCCCGAGCUUGUGCCGCUGGCCCCCAGGGAGGCAAGUAUGCCGGCCCAGGUUGGCGGUGGAGAGAUGAAGGAGCGAUCAAGCAGACAGCCCCACAGCCCCACCUGUGAGGACGGGACUGCGUGUGCAGCUGCACCCACCGCCAUCUGGGCCACCAGGAUGCCUGCUUGUCUGCCCCUAUCCUCUCUCGGAUAAAUGGCUCUGCCUCCUA